rnacentral:rRNA from 1 species
UACGUAGGGUCCAAGCGUUGUUCGGAUUUACUGGGCGUAAAGGGCGCGUAGGCGGCUUGGCAAGUCACUUGUGAAAUCUCCGGGCUUAACUCGGAACGGCCAAGUGAAACUGUCAUGCUAGAGUGCAGAAGGGGCAAUCGGAAUUCUUGGUGUAGCGGUGAAAUGCGUAGAUAUCAAGAGGAACACCUGAGGUGAAGACGGGUUGCUGGGCUGACACUGACGCUGAGGCGCGAAAGCCAGGGGAGCAAACGGG